rnacentral:rRNA from 1 species
AUUGAACGCUGGCGGCAGGCCUAACACAUGCAAGUCGAGCGGAUGAAGGGAGCUUGCUCCUGGAUUCAGCGGCGGACGGGUGAGUAAUGCCUAGGAAUCUGCCUGGUAGUGGGGGAUAACGUCCGGAAACGGGCGCUAAUACCGCAUACGUCCUGAGGGAGAAAGCGGGGGAUCUUCGGACCUCACGCUAUCAGAUGAGCCUAGGUCGGAUUAGCUAGUUGGUGGGGUAAAGGCCUACCAAGGCGACGAUCCGUAACUGGUCUGAGAGGAUGAUCAGUCAACCUGGAAUUGAGACACGGUCCAGACUCCUACGGGAGGAAGCAGUGGGGAAUAUUGGACAAUGGGCGAAAGCCUGAUCCAGCCAUGCGGCGUGUGUGAAGAAGGUCUUCGGAUUGUAAAGAACUUUAAGUUGGGAGGAAGGGCAGUAAGUUAAUCCCUUGCUGUUUUGACGUUACCAACAGAAUAAGCACCGGCUAACUUCGUG